rnacentral:tRNA from 1 species
GCAACUGUAACUCAAUUGGUAGAGUGUAACCUUGCCAAGGUUAAAGCUAAGGGUUCAAAUCCCUUCAGUUGCUGA